CCUACGGGAGGCAGCAGUGGGGAAUAUUGGGCAAUGGGCGCAAGCCUGACCCAGCAACGCCGCGUGAAGGAAGAAGGCUUUCGGGUUGUAAACUUCUUUUCUGGGGGACGAACAAAUGACGGUACCCCAGGAAUAGGCAAGGGUUAACUACGUCCCAGAUGCUGGGGUAAUACGUAGGGGGCAGGCGUAAUCGGGAUUUAUGGGGGUAAAAGGGCGUGUAGGCGGGAAUGCAAGUCAGAUGUGAAAACGAAGGGCUCAACCCUGGGCCGGCAUUGGAAACUGGGUUUCUGGAGUGCUGGGGAGGCAAUCGGAAUGCCGUGGGUAGCGGUGAAAUGCGUAGAUAUACGGAGGAACACCAGUGGCGAAGGCGGAUUGCUGGACAGUAACUGACGCUGAGGCGCGAAAGCGUGGGGAGCAAACAGGAUUAGAUACCCUAGUAGUC
rnacentral:rRNA from 1 species